UUGACCGUACCGCAAACCGACACAGGUGGGCAGGAUGAAAAUUCUAAGGCGCUUGAGAGAACUCAGGAGAAGGAACUCGGCAAAUUAACACCGUAACUUCGGGAGAAGGUGUGCCCCGGUAGCGUGUAGAGACUUGCUCUCGAAGCGCGAUGGGGUUGCAGUGAAAUGGUGGCUGCGACUGUUUAAUAAAAACACAGCACUCUGCAAACACGAAAGUGGACGUAUAGGGUGUGACGCCCGCCCGGUGCCGGAAGGUUAAGUGAUGGGGUGCAAGCUCUUGAUCGAAGCCCCGGUAAACGGCGGCCGUAACAAUAACGGUCCUAAGGUAGCGAAAUUCCUUGUCGGGUAAGUUCCGACCUGCACGAAUGGCGUAACGAUGGCCACACUGUCUCCUCCUGGGACUCAGCGAAGUUGAAAUGUUUGUGAAGAUGCAAUCUACCCGCGGCUAGACGGAAAGACCCCACGAACCUUUACUGUAGCUUUGCAUUGGACUUUGAACCGGUUUGUGUAGGAUAGGUGGGAGACUGUGAAGCCGGGACGCUAGUUUCGGUGGAGUCAACCUUGAAAUACCACCCUGAUUUGUUUGAGGUUCUAACCUUGGUCCGUGAAUCCGGAUCGGGGACCGUGCAUGGUAGGCAGUUUGACUGGGGCGGUCUCCUCCCAAAAGGUAACGGAGGAGUACGAAGGUACGCUUAGGGCGGUCGGACAUCGCCCACAAAGUGCAAUGGCAAAAGCGUGCUUGACUGCGAGACCCACAAGUCGAGCAGGUACGAAAGUAGGUCAUAGUGAUCCGGUGGUUCUGUAUGGAAGGGCCAUCGCUCAACGGAUAAAAGGUACUCUGGGGAUAACAGGCUAAUUCCUCCCAAGAGUUCAUAUCGACGGGGGAGUUUGGCACCUCGAUGUCGGCUCAUUACAUCCUGGGGCUGUAGUCGGUCCCAAGGGUAUGGCUGUUCGCCAUUUAAAGUGGUACGCGAGCUGGGUUUAAAACGUCGUGAGACAGUUUGGUCCCUAUCUGCCGUGGGCGCUGGAAAUUUGAAGGGGGCUGCUCCUAGUACGAGAGGACCGGAGUGGACGAACCUCUGGUGUACCGGUUAUGACGCCAGUCGUAUCGCCGGGUAGCUAAGUUCGGAAGAGAUAAACGCUGAAAGCAUCUAAGCGUGAAACUCGCCUUAAGAUAAGAUUUCCCGGAGUCUUGAACUCCCUGAAGGGUCGUCGAAGACCACGACGUUGAUAGGUCAGGUGUGGAAGCGCAGCAAUGCGUUAAGCUAACUGAUACUAAUUGCCCGUGCGGCUUGAUCCC
rnacentral:rRNA from 1 species